UUGCGGCCAUAUCACGUCGAAACACUGGUACCUGUACGAUCACCGAAGUUAAGCGACGUUGACCCUGGUGAGUACCUAGAUGGGUGAUUGCUUGGGUAUACCAGGUGCUGUCAG